UACGUAGGGUGCAAGCGUUAUCCGGAAUUAUUGGGCGUAAAGAGCUCGUAGGCGGUUUGUCGCGUCUGCUGUGAAAACUGGAGGCUCAACCUCCAGCUUGCAGUGGGUACGGGCAAACUAGAGUGCGGUAGGGGAGAUUGGAAUUCCUGGUGUAGCGGUGGAAUGCGCAGAUAUCAGGAGGAACACCGGUGGCGAAGGCGGGUCUCUGGGCAGUAACUGACGCUGAGGAGCGAAAGCGUGGGGAGCGAACAGG
rnacentral:rRNA from 1 species